CCUACGGGUGGCAGCAGUGAGGAAUAUUGGUCAAUGGGCGCGAGCCUGAACCAGCCAAGUCGCGUGAGGGAUGACGGCCCUACGGGUUGUAAACCUCUUUUACCGGGGAGCAACGGGCGCCACGUGUGGCGUCACUGAGAGUCCCCGGAGAAAAAGCAUCGGCUAACUCCGUGCCAGCAGCCGCGGUAAUACGGAGGAUGCGAGCUUUUCCCGGUUUUUUGGGGUUUAAGGGAUGCUAGGGCGGAUCUUUAAGUCAGUGGUAAAAUCGGGGGGGUAAACCCGUUACCGCCAUUGAAACUGGCGUUCUGGAGUGGAAGAGACGUAUGCGGAAUUCGUGGUGUAGCGGUGAAAUGCAUAGAUAUCACGCAGAACCCCGAUUGCGAAGGCAGCAUGCCG
rnacentral:rRNA from 1 species